GCGCGGGGUGGAGCAGCCUGGUAGCUCGUCGGGCUCAUAACCCGAAGGUCGUCGGUUCAAAUCCGGCCCCC
rnacentral:tRNA from 1 species